rnacentral:tRNA from 1 species
CGCGUGGUGGAGCAGCCCGGUAGCUCGUUGGGCUCAUAACCCAAAGGUCGUAGGUUCGGUGAAAAUACCACGAAGGUAUUUUCACACGAGCGAAGCGAGCCUGAAAGGCGCUGGGCAGGAGCCCAGCGUAAAUCCUGCCCCCGCUACCA